rnacentral:lncRNA from 1 species
CGGCAACCUAGCAGCUAUCUUGGUCUCCCCUGAGUGCAUUUGGAACCUGGCCCAUUCACAUCAGUCUGUCAACUCCCAGCCCGUGGCAGGUGACCCUCCCCCUUGACAAGGCAUAAGCUGCAGCCCUGCCCACAGCCUCCCCUCUUUCAUUUUCUCUUUCCUCUCAGUCUAUCUUAUAUUUUUCUUCUUUGUUCUCUAUUCUUUUUAUCUUUUUCUCCCUCUCUUGCUUCCUUUUGUUCUCCAGGGUGGCCGGUGUGGGCAGCUGGUGGCUUCCAUAAACUUCAAAUCUUUUUCAAGAUCAUGCAUUCUUGCAACCGGGGAAGAAUGGCCUACAAAGCCUGGUUUGGACCACAUAUAUCCCGGAUUUCCUUGGACCGACUCAACUAUUUGUCCCAGCUCCAAGUUUCAAGAAGCCAGUCAAGACUGUCAGGAAUUCAAAGUUGACUGGGAUGGCAACCUCGGAAGCCAUGUCCUGAAGACAGCAAGGCCUCCUCAGCCUGGGUCCCUGAAUGACUGCAUGGAGGAGUGCUGCUCCUCCUCACCUGAACACUUGCAAAGGAUGGUUACAGGACAAAGAAAGAAACUUGGGUGAAGUCACUAGAUUUGGAGAUCUGUAUGUUACUGAUAUAGUUUGGAUCUGUGUCCCCGCCCAAACCUCAUAUUGAAAUGUAAUUCCCCAUGUUGGAGGUAGGGCCUGGUGGGAGGUGACUGGAUCAUGGGGGCAGAUUUCUCAGGAAUGGUUUAGCACCAUCCCCUUGGUAGCAUCCUCAGGAUAGUGAGUGAGCUCUCGUAAGAUCUGGUUAAGUGUGCGGGCCCUCCCUGUGCUCUUUUUUUUUUUUUUUUUUUGAGAUGGAGUCUCACUCUAUUGCCUAGGCUGGAGUGCAAUGGUGCUAUCUUGGCUCAUUGCAACCUCUGCCUCCCAGGUUCAACUGAUUCUCCCGCCUCAGUCUCCCCAGUAGCUGGGAUUACAGGUGCACACCACCACACUCGGCUAAUUUUUGUACUUUUAGUAGAGACAGGGUUUCACCAUGUUGGCCAGGCUGGUCUUGAACUCCUGACAUCGUGAUCCGCCCACCUCGGCCUCCCCAAGUGCUGGAUUCCAGGCGUGAGCCACUGCGCCUGGCCACCACUUUCUCUCCUGACAUGUGUCAUGCCUACCCCCUGUUCGCCUUCUGCCAUGAUUGGAGGCUUCCUGAGACCUCCUCAGAAGCAGAUGCUACUGUGCUUCCUGUAAAGCCUGCAGAACCAUCAGCCAAAUACAUUUCUUUUCUUCAUAAAUUACCC